UUUAUGAAGGGUUUGAUCUUGGCUCAGAACGAACGCUGGCGGCGUGGAUUAGGCAUGCAAGUCGAACGAGGAUAUACCCUUCGGGGUGUAAACCGAGUGGCGCAAGGGUGAGUAAUGCAUAGAUUACCUGCCUCUAGGAUAAGGACAACUUUGUGAAAACGAAGCUAAUACUUAAUAAUACAAAAGGGAAUAAUUUUCUUUUGUCAAUGGGAGGGUAGCAAUACCUUUUGCCUGGAGAGGGGUUUAUGUCCUAUCAGCUUGUUGGUGGGGUAAUGGCCUACCAAGGCGAAGACGGGUAGCCGGUCUUAGAGGAUGGUCGGCCACACUGGGACUGAGACACUGCCCAGACUUCUACGGAAGGCUGCAGUCGAGAAUCUUUCGCAAUGCCCGAAAGGGUGACGAAGCGACGCCGCGUGAGUGAGGAAGGCCUUCGGGUUGUAAAGCUCUGUCAGGGGUUAAGAAAUGUAAGUGUGCUAAUACCACAUUUAUUUGACAAAAGCUCCAAAGGAAGCCACGGCUAACUCUGUGCCAGCAGCCGCGGUAAUACAGAGGUGGCAAGCGUUGUUCGGAAUUAUUGGGCGUAAAGAGCACGUAGGUGGGUUUGUAAGUCAGAUGUGAAAGCCUUCUGUUCAACGGAAGAAUUGCAUCUGAAACUGCGAGUCUUGAGUGUAGGAGGGGAGAAUGGAACUUCUGGUGGAGCGGUGAAAUGCGUAGAUAUCAGAAGGAACGCCGGCGGCGAAAGCGAUUCUCUGGCCUAUUACUGACACUCAGUGUGCGAAAGCUAGGGGAGCAAACGGGAUUAGAUACCCCGGUAGUCCUAGCUGUAAACGAUGGGCACUAAGUAGAGGGGAUUACCGAUGUUCUCUCUGCCGUAGCUAACGCAUUAAGUGCCCCGCCUGGGGAGUACGGCCGCAAGGCUAAAACUCAAAAGAAUUGACGGGGGCUCGCACAAGCGGUGGAGCAUGUGGUUUAAUUCGAUGCAACGCGGAGAACCUUACCGGGGCUUGACAUGGUAGAAGUAGGAACCCGAAAGGGUGACGAACGGUAUCCAGUCCGUAGCUAUCACAGGUGUUGCAUGGCUGUCGUCAGCUCGUGUCGUGAGACGUUGGGUUAAGUCCCCUAACGAGCGAAACCCUUGUUUUUAGUUACCAGCGGGUUAUGCCGGGUACUCUAGAAAGACUGCCGUCGUCAAGACGGAGGAAGGUGGGGAUGACGUCAAGUCAUCAUGGCCCUUAUGCCCCGGGCUACACACGUGCUACAAUGGUCGGUACAAACGGAAGCGAAGCCGAGAGGUGAAGCGAAUCCUAAAAAGCCGAUCUCAGUUCGGAUUGGAGGCUGAAAUUCGCUCCAUGAAGUUGGAAUCGCUAGUAAUCGCGGAUCAGCUCGCCGCGGUGAAUAUGUUCCCGAGCCUUGUACACACCGCCCGUCAAGCCACCCAAGCAGGAUGCACCCGAAAACAUUAUAUCUAACCAGGGCAACUUGGAGGAAAGUGUUGAAGGAGUGUUUUGUGAGGAGGACUAAGUCGUAACAAGGUAGUCGUAGGAGAACCUGCGGCUGGAUCACCUCCUUU
rfam:Candidatus Scalindua brodae SCABRO_contig000256, whole genome shotgun sequence.